CCCUCAAUGGCUUAGUGGUAGAGCGUCUGAUAGGUAUUGCUUCCCUUGAGUAUUGCCCAAGUUGACAGAAGGCUAGGGUUCGAAUCCCUAUUGAGGCA
rnacentral:tRNA from 2 species